UGGGGAUUGGUCCUGCUUUGAGCAGGGGGUUGGACUAGAUGACCUCCUGAGGUCCCUUCCAACCCUGAUAUUCUAUUCUAUUGUAUUAACCCAGGCCAGUGCUAAUGCUAGCUAUCUUGAAAGAUAACUGGUUAUGGUUGUUCUUUACUCACUUACUACUGUGACAAAGUAAGGUAGGUUAUGUUAAUUUCUGGUUAGGAAAAAACAAAGCCGGUAUCUUGUCUGCCGCAGAAACUCUCAUGAUCAAUAUAGCAGGUCAGCUUUGACUUACAAGGCCUGAGGGGUCAGUCAUGCAAAACCGCAUUAGACAAUGUACAAAGAAUUUAUCAAAGGAGAAUAUCCAAAAGCUUAACCUGAGCACACAUGUUCAUACUUUCCUAAAUCAGGGCGUCAGUGUUUUACUUGAAAAUUCAAACAUCAUGACUUAAUUAAAAAAAAAAAUAAAAAUCUCCACAGCCUGGAACAUCUCUGAACACUUCACAUAACAGUUUCUUAUCGAAUAUAGUUAAAAAGCUCAACUUCUGAAUUCUUUUGCACUGAUCUCUUCCAAGACAGUGCAGUUUUGCAAUUUUAUGAUGUUUUAAAAAAAUUAAAUAAUAAUCUAAAUUUAUCU